GACGAACGCUGGCGGCGUGCCUAAUACAUGCAAGUCGAACGCACUCUCGUUUAGAUUGAAGGAGCUUGCUCCUGAUUGAUAAACAUUUGAGUGAGUGGCGGACGGGUGAGUAACACGUGGGUAACCUGCCCUAAAGUGGGGGAUAACAUUUGGAACAGAUGCUAAUACCGCAUAAAACCUAACACCGCAUGGUGUAGGGUUGAAAGAUGGUUUCGGCUAUCACUUUAGGAUGGACCCGCGGUGCAUUAGUUAGUUGGUGAGGUAAAAGGGCUCACCAAGACCGUGAUGCAUAGCCGACCUGAGAGGGUAAUCGGCCACACUGGGACUGAGACACGGCCCAGACUCCUACGGGAGGCAGCAGUAGGGAAUCUUCCACAAUGGACGAAAGU
rnacentral:rRNA from 1 species